GGCUGCAACCCCGGGUCUCUUACCGUCACCAGCACACAGUGCAGGUCCGGGGUCUGCGCGGCGCCCCCGCUCUCCGCCGGGCCCGCGUCGUUCUCCAGUAGCAACAGCUCAGCCAGCCGACCCGGGUUGCUGACUCGCAGGAUGUUGAUGUCGUUCUCGCAGCAGAACGCACGGAUGAGGGUGAAAUGGAUCUGCAGAGCCACAUCCCGGUCGUCGUCUUCGUCCGCAGCCAGCAGGCACAGUACCACGUUAUCGGGGUCUCUGCGGGCAGCGGGGCAGCGACAUCAGAAGAGGAUAUUGGAUCCCAUUACAGAUGGUUGAAGGCCACCAUGUCAUUGCUGGGAAUUGAACUCAAGACCUCUGGAAGAGCAGUCAGUGCUCUUAACCGCUGAGCCAUCUCUCCAGCCCAGAACUGAUCUUACAUGGGUGGGUCUGAUACAGGUAACUGACUUGUCUGCACUCAAAACUCAGAACCUGUCUUUCCCAGAGUAUGACGUCACUCAUCUCUACCCACCUGCUUCCCUCCAGGAAUAGGUGUGCUUGGCUUAGUGCUUGGCUUAUUGAUGACCAAUGAUGUGGUCAGAGGCUACGCUCAGUGGUUUAAGCCACAGAGCUUUGUUCUCUGCUGAGUAUGUGGGUUGGGGUACAUUAAAAGGCACAGAAUUUUUCAAGCAUAGCAACUGUAAUGACUGAAGUUAAAUAAACUUCACCAAGUGUCAAAAAGGGUUUGCAGUAACUGGAAGUUUCAUGUAUUAGUGAGGGAGAUAAACAAACAAAACAAUAACAAUAAAAACAGUUCAGCCACUUUGGAGAGUGUUGACAGUGUCUUGAAAGCUAAGCAUAUACUUUACACACACAAUUCAGCAAUCUCAUACCUGGGUGUGCACCCAAGAAAACUGAAAAGAUAUUCUUAUAAACAGACUUGUCCAUGAGCUCUCACAGAAGUAUUAGUCAUAAUGUUCUAAAAUGAUUAAUAACUCACAUGUUUAUCAACUGAUUCGUUGGACAAUGCUGCAUAAGCCGGGAAAUGAAUCUCAAAAGUAUUGUACUCACUGGAAGAGGUAACAUGGAAAAGAUCGCAUACUGUAUAUAAAACUCUAGGAAAAGCAAGACUAUACUUUCAGGAAGCAGUGGUUUCGAGCAGCUGAGAGUAGGGGAAGAGACAGACUACGGGUCAAUGAAAUCUAAGCUGUAAUUGUGUUGGUUGUUACUGAUGAUACUUAGCAAAAUUCACUGCAUUGUAUAUCUUCAUCACGUGAGUUAUUACAUAUAAGUUAUGAUAAGUCUGGUUUUCUUAAAGUAGGGCAUAGCUUUUAUAGUAUGGAUAGGUGCUGUGAAGGCUGAUGGGGGAAACUGUUCUCAAGAGUCUUUCUUAACUCUAGACUCUCUGUGCUAUACUUGCUAAGCAAGAUGUGCCCACUGGUGUAACUGUAGCUUGACUGUUAUGGGGGUAACAGGUUAUGAUUGAACUUAAAAACUUUUGCACAAGAAGGAGUUUACAAAUGGUACCCAGGCAAAAGCUUAUCUGGGAAAGGUCAUAGAUCCUAGAGGGUGACUGCACACUUUGCUAAAUGAACAGGAUGUACCUGUCAAAAUGCCUGCUAAAUAUUUAUGCUGCUGCUGUCAUCUUUGGUCAGAAAAGCUUCUUUUUCAUUUAGGUAUCAGUUACUGCAGAGACUCAAGAGUUUUAAGUGCAGAGAAGAAGGGACUCUUGAGUGCUCAGUCCUAAGUUGAACAAUGAUAUCAUCCCCUCCAAAGCUCAAAAUGGUUGUGAGUCACCCUGUGAUUGCUGGGAUUUGAACUCAAGACCUCCGGAAGAGCAGUUAGUGCUCUUAACCACUGAGCAAUCUCUCCAGCCCGACUCUGCAAGUUUCAGUGAGAUAUGCUCAAACUGGCCAAAAAUUUUCUAGAUGCUCAGACUGGCCCCAGCUUCCCAAAAGCUGAACCAGCAAGCAUGUGCCGCCAUGCCUGGUAAAAUCUGAGAUUUGCACGCACUGCAAAACCAGUCCUGCAGGUUAGCACAGUGUAAUGGGUUUAAUUUUCAUACGAGUGUGUCCUCAUCUAGCUUAUUCCCCUCCCACGUGGUCCUCAGAAGCCUUUCAAGGUCUGACCUAUAAGUGGACUUUCCAUCACCUCUCACUCCUCACUUCGGAAUGGGCAUUUGGGCAGUGUGGGACGGGAAGUAAGACUCUGUUUCUGAGGAUGUGGAAGAGGAAAGCAGCACGAGACGAGACUGAAAUCUCACUAUAUAGCUCUGGCUUCCUGACUGGACUGGAACUCUCUAUGUAGUCUAGGCUAGCCUUGAUCUCACAGAAAUCUGAACACCUGCUAGGACUGGCCAUGCACACCAUCACACAGGACAAAAUAAAUAUUAAGGAAAAAAAGGAUUGGUGAAUGAAUGUACACUUAUGUAUAAAAAUCAUCUAUAUUAUAUACCUUUUUUGUGUGUCUCCUGAAUUAAACUAAACUUAACCU
ensembl:processed_transcript E230016M11Rik RIKEN cDNA E230016M11 gene